GGCCUUACCAUGCAGUCGACGGCAGCACGGACUUCGGUCUGGUGGCGAGUGGCGAACGGGUGAGUAAUGUAUCGGAACGUGCCCAGUAGCGGGGGAUAACUACGCGAAAGCGUAGCUAAUACCGCAUACGCCCUACGGGGGAAAGCAGGGGAUCGCAAGACCUUGCACUAUUGGAGCGGCCGAUAUCGGAUUAGCUAGUUGGUGGGGUAACGGCUCACCAAGGCGACGAUCCGUAGCUGGUUUGAGAGGACGACCAGCCACACUGGGACUGAGACACGGCCCAGACUCCUACGGGAGGCAGCAGUGGGGAAUUUUGGACAAUGGGGGAAACCCUGAUCCAGCCAUCCCGCGUGUGCGAUGAAGGCCUUCGGGUUGUAAAGCACUUUUGGCAGGAAAGAAGCGUCGUGGGUUAAUACCCCGCGAAACUGACGGUACCUGCAGAAUAAGCACCGGCUAACUACGUGCCAGACCCCGGGGGAAAAUAACUGCCC
rnacentral:rRNA from 1 species